UCUAGAAUUACCUCUCUUUGGCCUCUUCGCUGGAGGGGGAGCAGCUUCACCACUGGAUGUAUUACACCCGCCUGACACUGAUGUGUUACCUUCAGAUGGCGCCGAAUCAAUUUCGUCAAGAGUGACGUCGGGGAACAGCGCAAGCAACUUCUGGAACUCCUCCAGAAAGUGCACUAGAGGAUGCUGGCUGUACCGUACCUGAAGCUGAAUAGAUGUAGAUCUACAUCUUAUUUAUGUAAUGUCUUCUGUGGUACCUUGAGUCUUGCUUGUUCUGUAUAAGUAGCCAUUAUGUGUUUUUUGUUUG